AAUGCAAAAUGUGUAUAGUGAAUGUAGUGUGAUUCUGGUGAAUGCAGAGCGUGUGUAUAGUAAAUGCAGUGUUUGUAGUGCAAAGUGUGUUUAGUAAAUGUAGUGAGUGCAACAUGUGUAUAGUGAAUGUAGUCUGGGUGUGUGUGUGUAUAGGGCAAAGUGUGUUUAGUGAAUGUAGUGUGUGUGUGUGUGUAGUGCAGAGUGUGUUUAGUAAAUGUAGUGUGUUUGUAGUGAGUGCAGAGUGUUUUUAGUGAAUGUAGUGUGUGUGUGUGUGU